rnacentral:misc_RNA from 1 species
UUAUUUAUUGUGUUUUUCGCUCGGACAUCACUGAUAAACAGAUUUUAAUGGGCCUCUGGCGAGCGCUCGCCGGCCUGUGGGCGGCGCGAGAGGUCCUCGGACCCGCCAAAGCAACAAAGGUUGGUACACAAAGGGUGAAGAGUUAGGGGCCGAGACCCCCGGGAGCGCGAAGCCCCUCUCUCAGUAAUGAUCCUUCCGCAGGUUCACCUACGGAAA